UGUCCCACACAAAUUUCCUGUCUCUCAGCUGGAGAGGUAUGGAUUUGACAGAUGGACAGCUGGGCAGAGAAACCAUGCCAUUUUUGGGCCAAGACUGGAGAUCCCCUGGAUGGAGAUGGGUUAAAACAGAAGAUGGAUGGAAAAGAUGUGAACCCUUUAGUCCUGCGCUUGAGGAUGGGAAUAAUCAGCUGAAUGAUAUCAGCCACACUGUUAUCAUAACUGGGGAUGAUGAGAAUGAAGAAGUGUACAAUACUGAAGACUGUGAGUUUGCAGCCAAGAAAAGGAAAAAAGAUCAUUUUAGGAAUAACACAGAUUCACAAUGUUUUUAUCGUGAAAAGUGGAUUUAUGUUCAUAAAGAAAGCACCAAGGAAAGACAUGGCUAUUGCACCUUGGGAGAAGCCUUUAACCGCUUAGACUUUUCAAGUGCGAUUCAGGACAUCAGGAGGUUCAAUUAUGUGGUCAAACUUUUGCAGUUAAUUGCAAAAUCCCAGUUAACUUCACUGAGUGGUGCAGCACAGAAGAACUACUUUAACAUUUUGGACAAAAUUGUGCAGAAGGUUAUGGAAGACCAGUAUAAUCCACGGUUGAUCAAAGAUCUUCUGCAGGAUCUGAGUUCUACUCUCUGUAUACUGAUUAGGGGAGUAGGAAAAUCUGUGUUGGUAGGCAACAUCAAUAUUUGGAUUUGUCGACUAGAAACUAUCCUUCUGUGGCAGCAACAAUUAAAAAAUCUUCAAAUGAACAAGCAAGUCAACAAUGGACUUACACUUAGCGAUCUCCCUCUCCAUAUGCUGAAUAACAUCUUGUACAGGUUCUCUGAUGGCUGGGACAUUAUUACUCUGGGUCAAGUGACCCCAACUUUGUACAUGCUUAGUGAAGACAGACAGUUGUGGAAAAAACUCUGCCAAUACCAUUUUGCAGAAAAACAGCUGGGGAGGAAUACCUGUUGUGUAGCAGCUAAUCUUUACAUGAAGAUUAAGUUGUCAAGAAGUACAUCAAUCGCUAACUAUUGCUAUCCUUCUAGAAAGAUCCCAACCAAAUGUGAAAAACAAAUUUUUGUAGGCAUUUGAUUCCAUCAGAGAAAGGUCACAUUGACUGGAAGCUGAUGUACUUUGCACUUCAGAAAUAUUACCCAAUAAAGGAACAGUACGGGGACACCUUACAUUUCUGUCGACACUGUAGCAUUCUGUUUUGGAAGGACUACCACCUUGCUUUGUUACUCCAGGAUACAGGACACCCCUGCACAGCCAGCGAUCCAAACACCUGUCUCAUGCCAGUAUCUCCUCAGCAUUUCAUUGAUCUCUUCAAAUUUUGAGAUGUUCAGUAGCUGUUCUCCUGUGUUUGUGGCCAUUUUGUGAAGAGUCAGGCAGGAUAUGUUAUGCUUUUUGUGCAAUAUAUUUAAGUGUAAUGUUUUAUUGUGGUUUAAAAAAAUUAAUGGAGGAGAUUAUCAGAGGGGUUCAUUUGGCAUAUUGCUUUUGUGCAGAAUAGAGAGGAAGAAAGGAGAAACACGAAGAAAAUUUCAUUGUCAGGAAAUCUCCAGUGGACUUUUUUUCAAGUCCAAGAAAGAUCACUUUAAUCUCAACUUUAAAUCCAUGCUUUUGACGCCUUAAUAGUUGGUUAAAAUUAUGUAGGGGAGUUUUGAAAAUUUCAUGGAGGAAUUAAACUACUCUUGCAGGGACCAAAGGAGGGUUUUUUUGUUAAUCCUUCUUUCUAUAAGCCAUGGUUUUCAAAACACCUCCAUAUAAUUUGCACUAUUAUAAAGAAUAGGCCAAUAUUCUCUUAGACUCUUACUACAACAUUAUGAAGGUGGCAUUAUCUAUUAUGAGCUAGUGAGUAAAAUAUAACUGAAGUUAUAUCUGCUGUUGAACCUAUAUGAAUGAAGGAAAUCAACCAAUUUUUGUACAUACAUUAUGCAAAAAUAUUUAUUUUUCUUAAGGACUUUAUUAAGCAUUUAACCUAUCUUAGCACAUCUUGCAGAACUCGUGAGACCAAUCUGGGGCUACUGGAAUUCUUUCUGAUGUAGCUACAGCCUUCAUUUAUACUGUUUGGAAUGUCUACAAGUGCAACUGCAUUAAUUCAUCUUCUAAGAAGAAGACAUUAUUGAAAUUUAAUGAGGAUGUAGUUGCUUGUUUCUAGACUGGUACAGUGGCAGAACAUUAUGCUACCAACUGAGGUUCUAACCUGACAGGCUAUGAGAAACACUGAAAGUCAGUCUGAGCUGGAGCAUCUUCUGCCAAGUUAAUCAGAUGAUAAAUUCUCCAGGAAGCUAUUUUGUUCUAUCUUGUAGAAAAAAAAUAAAUUGCUUGGCUUAAGCAGGUAAAGGAAAAAUUAUGGAAGUUUUGGAUUUGUCAAUGAAAUUUAACAAUAUGUAAUGUACAGAAAAAAUAAAUCAUGUACCAUAUUCUGCACUUGCUUGUUCUGAAUCCAGUUUGUACAGUGUAAUAAAUCAUGUUUUUAUCUGUUAUUCCUAGAAGCCUCUGGUACAUAGAGGUGAAUCAAUUUGAAUUUUGUAAGAUCUCUCUGUAACAUGUCUAUAAUAAUUGGUAAUGGAAUGAGAAGCAUACAAGCAGUCCUAGUGCUAUUGCUUUACAGUAGUUUGCUGUAUUAGGCCUUUUUGUAAUACCAGAGCUAGGCUGUUUUUUGGCUACACAAGAAGAGGAGAAUAUUUAUGUCCACAAGAAAUAGUUUUAUGUUAACUUGAAUCUUGGUAAUUGAAUUGCUGAUUUUGUGGCUUUUUCAAUAUAGGGUUUUGUGGAUUUUUUUUCUUUCAAUUCAGGUGUGGAUCCCAGGACCUCCAUUCUUAUUCCUGUUCAUUCAGAGUAUUGCUGCAAGCCUUGCUUUCUCAGCCAAGCACUGCUGUAUCCACUGGAUUUGUUAAGGAGCCAGCAGUCCUUCUUUAACAACAAUUUGUAUCCCAUUUAUUUAAUUCCUGUAGCAGCUCAGAUGUUUUCCUGUCUCUAUGACCUUUGUAACCCUGACGGUAGCUGGUGAUGGCUGACAUCCACUAAUCACUCCUUUACCAUGGCUACAGUUUUGCUGUCCUGCAUAAAACUUCCUGUAAAUAUAUGGAUGCUUUCUCUGAGAGCUUGAAAGAAAGGUUUUAAAACCAGUAUUUGGUUUAAUGCUGCUGUCCUGAGAGCUGCCCAGUGCUGAAAAGACAAAUAAGGUGACAGCUGGAAAAAGGUAUUAAGAGAGCUGAGAAGAAACCUCUCUCCUAGCCACUGAAUUGAAGAGGGAGAGAAAUGACUUUAAGGUCUUAUAAGCCAUCGUAAGAUCAGUUUGGAAAAAAAUCAGUAUCUGUAAUAACUAAUUUUCUGUUCUCUUAGAAAUGCCAGGUGACAGCAGCUAGGCUUACUCUCUCUUUCCCUUUCACUGCUUCUUAUCUUGCUCUUCCUGCAGUAGCACAAAAAGCCUUUGACAGCCUGAAGGUUAAGUUCUGAAAUACGUUAAGAUCCCGUGUGUGGAUUUCCAUUUAGGAGUACCACGGUGUCCCAUUGGGCUGAGGUGGCAGGAGCUAAGAUGACAAGAAGCAGAACUCUGCUUUGUAUUUAAAUGGCUUCAUUCUGUUCUCACAAGUUAAUUGAGGGUGGAAGUGACCCAGCUGAAGCAGUUAGCUAGAGCUUGUUCUCUAGGACUUUGUCCAGAACUGUGUCCGAAUGGCUUUUUUAUCUCCAGGGAGGGAGACUCUACAGCCUCUCUGGGCAACCUGUGCUAGUGUUUGGUUACCCUCACAAUAACUGCAUUUCCUGAUGUUCAGAUAACACCUCCUCUGUUCCACUUUGUGCUUCUUGCCUCUGGUCCUUUACACUGUCAAGAGCCUGGCUUCCUUCUCCUCCCUUCAGGUACUGCUAGAUGAUGAGAUCCACCUGAGCCUUAUCUUCUCCAGACUGAACACUUCCAGUUCAGCUUUUUCUCACAGGACAGAUGCUCCAGUCAUCUUUUCUUUACACUUUUAUCAUCUUUCUGACCCUUCACUUGAGUCCCUGUAGUAGGUCCAUGUAACACACUAACUUUAUUUGUGUCAAGGGCACAUUGCUUGACUCAUGUGCAACUUGGAUCACCCACCCCAAAGCCAGUAUGGUAACUCUUUAAACAUUUCUUCUGGAUUAAGAAAAGAAAAAAAAAUUAGAGAUGCUGAGUAUUCCAGUUCAGGAUACUUUUUUUUAAACAUCUUAAACACUGACUGUGGAAUCACAUUGUCAUGAGCAGUGUUAAAAGCUUUUAACACUUGCAAAACUGAGCUUCGGGAAAAGUUCCAGAAACUCCUUAAGUAUUUAGUGAAUACAUUGCUUAGACUAGGCAAAUAAGAGCUUGAUUGAGAGUGACUAUGUGAUGUGAAGUCACCAGAUGCGUAAGAAGGUAACUUUCAGUUGUGUUACAUAAGUAAAAAAGCUAAGGCAGUGAUUUCAGUAAUAGCAUUGGUAGUGUUUGGGUUUUUGUGUUGGUCUGUUGGUCCUGAGAAUACCUUUCAAAGGCAAUCGGGAUGUUCUCUGCUGUAGUCCACAAGAGCCUGAAAUUACAAUUUUUAAGACCAAGCUCUCCCUUCCCACUCCCCAGUCACUGCCUCCCAGCCCCUAAUCUGAGAGACUCCUGGCCUUUUUUAUUACAUUCUCUCCCACCACUUUUGUUCACCUAUUUCUGGGAAAACUCUGCCAUGGACUUUCUCCAAGAGCACUGUGUGAGCUUUUCUCUUUGGAUGUCAGACAAGACUGGGACUCUUAUCUGGAAAUAACAGAGGAGUGGGACCUUGCUCUUUCUUUCUCCCUGUUGUCCAUCCUUGAGAAAUGAAUUAAGUUGCUUUAGGAGAAGGAAGAACCAGAACUUCAAGAAAACACUAAGCUCAAAGCAAGAGUUCUCCACUAGGAUUAGCAGUGAAAGACCAGUGGCUUUCUACAGUCUAGAAGGCAGAAGCAAUGAGGGCUGAGCAAGAAUGAAAGGAUGGGAUGGGGAACAGUAGAACAACAUUUUGGAUUUCAUGGUGCACAAAUUAGCAUAUUUACAGCUCCAUCAUUGGCAAAGAACUUAGAGGAAGGCUAGACACUUAAUAUCCAACUAAAGUUGGUUGAAUUGGCAGAGAUAGAAAUCUGCAUUAAAUCAAUAUCAAAUGUUUGGGGAGAGUUGGUAAAUUAGAGUUCAGAAUAUUGAAACAUUAGCUAAUUAUGCUAUUCACUUGCAGUAUUUUUAUACUUCCAUCUCCAAGGCUCAGGUCCAACCCCUCAGAGUAACUAGAACAUAAUUCCCAGCAAAAAUUCCUAUGAAGUUCAGUAGGAUGAGGGUGACCUUUAAUGAUUAAAAUGUCUCUGUUUAAGGACAUGACAGAAAAGUGGAUCAGAACAUGAGAUGUAAGGGUGGGUUUCUUCCAUUCAAUUCCCAUGGCCAUCCUCUGUGCCACACACAGACCUGUCCCUCUACCUGUCAGACAUACUGGUAUUGCUUAUUUCCUGCAGGUUUAUGUGUACAUUAUUCUACAAAUAUGAAUAAAACAUGUUCAGUUUUA